rnacentral:ribozyme from 1 species
AAGAAAUGAAAUUGAUUUUGAAAUCGUUGUUGUGCAAUAAAUGUUCUCGAUCGAAAAAAAAAAAAAAAAAAAAAAAAAU